CGUCAUUAGCUAGUUGGUAGGUAACGGCUUACCAAGGCAACGAUGCAUAGCCGACCUGAGAGGGUGAUCGGCCACACUGGAACUGAGACACGGUCCAGACUCCUACGGGAGGCAGCAGUAGGGAAUCUUCCGCAAUGGGCGAAAGCCUGACGGAGCAACGCCGCGUGAGUGAUGAAGGUCUUCGGAUCGUAAAACUCUGUUAUUAGGGAAGAACAUAUGUGUA
rnacentral:rRNA from 1 species